rnacentral:rRNA from 1 species
UACAGAGGUCCCAAGCGUUGUUCGGAUUCACUGGGCGUAAAGGGUGCGCAGGUGGUUUGGCAAGUUUGACGUGAAAGCCCCGGGCUUAACCCGGGAAUGGCGUUGAAAACUGCUUGAACUGGAGGAUUGGAGGGGGGACUGGAAUUCUUGGUGUAGCAGUGAAAUGCGUAGAUAUCAAGAGGAACACCAGUGGCGAAGGCGAGUCCCUGGACAAUUCCUGACACUGAGGCACGAAAGCCAAGGGAGCAAACAGGA